rnacentral:rRNA from 1 species
UACAGAGGUGGCAAGCGUUGUUCGGAUUUAUUGGGCGUAAAGGGUCCGUAGGCGGUUUGAAAAGUCAGAUGUGAAAUCCCACGGCUCAACCGUGGAAGUGCACUCGAAACUGCGUAGCUAGAGUCCUGGAGAGGAAGGUGGAAUGCUUGGCGUAGAGGUGAAAUUCGUAGAUAUCAAGCGGAACACCGGUGGCGAAGGCGGCCUUCUGGACAGUGGCUGACGCUGAGACGCGAAAGCGUGGGGAGCAAACAGG